rnacentral:rRNA from 1 species
UUUUAAAUUUAGAGUUUGAUCCUGGCUCAGGACGAACGCUGGCGGCGUGCUUAACACAUGCAAGUCGAGCGAUGAAGCUUCCUUCGGGAAGUGGAUUAGCGGCGGACGGGUGAGUAACACGUGGGUAACCUGCCUCAAAGUGGGGGAUAGCCUUCCGAAAGGAAGAUUAAUACCGCAUAAUAUAAGAGAAUCGCAUGAUUUUCUUAUCAAAGAUUUAUUGCUUUGAGAUGGACCCGCGGCGCAUUAGCUAGUUGGUAAGGUAACGGCUUACCAAGGCAACGAUGCGUAGCCGACCUGAGAGGGUGAUCGGCCACAUUGGAACUGAGACACGGUCCAGACUCCUACGGGAGGCAGCAGUGGGGAAUAUUGCGCAAUGGGGGAAACCCUGACGCAGCAACGCCGCGUGGGUGAUGAAGGUCUUCGGAUUGUAAAGCCCUGUUUUCUAGGACGAUAAUGACGGUACUAGAGGAGGAAGCCACGGCUAACUACGUGCCAGCAGCCGCGGUAAUACGUAGGUGGCGAGCGUUGUCCGGAUUUACUGGGCGUAAAGGGUGCGUAGGCGGAUGUUUAAGUGGGAUGUGAAAUCCCCGGGCUUAACCUGGGGGCUGCAUUCCAAACUGGAUAUCUAGAGUGCAGGAGAGGAAAGCGGAAUUCCUAGUGUAGCGGUGAAAUGCGUAGAGAUUAGGAAGAACACCAGUGGCGAAGGCGGCUUUCUGGACUGUAACUGACGCUGAGGCACGAAAGCGUGGGUAGCAAACAGGAUUAGAUACCCUGGUAGUCCACGCCGUAAACGAUGGAUACUAGGUGUAGGGGGUAUCAACUCCCCCUGUGCCGCAGUUAACACAAUAAGUAUCCCGCCUGGGGAGUACGGUCGCAAGAUUAAAACUCAAAGGAAUUGACGGGGGCCCGCACAAGCAGCGGAGCAUGUGGUUUAAUUCGAAGCAACGCGAAGAACCUUACCUGGACUUGACAUCCCUUGCAUAGCCUAGAGAUAGGUGAAGCCCUUCGGGGCAAGGAGACAGGUGGUGCAUGGUUGUCGUCAGCUCGUGUCGUGAGAUGUUAGGUUAAGUCCUGCAACGAGCGCAACCCUUGUUAUUAGUUGCUACCAUUAAGUUGAGCACUCUAAUGAGACUGCCUGGGUAACCAGGAGGAAGGUGGGGAUGACGUCAAAUCAUCAUGCCCCUUAUGUCCAGGGCUACACACGUGCUACAAUGGUAGGUACAAUAAGA